UAUUAUAUUUAAUAUUACAAUAAUGCUUGGGUAGUAGUAAUUUAAUUUUUGAAACUCAAAGAAUUUGGCGGUGUUUUAGUCCUUUUAGAGGAAUCUGUCCUAUAAUUGAUAAUACACGAUUUGUUUUACUUAAUUUAUAUUAGUUUGUAUAUCGCCGUCAUAAGAUUAUUUUUAUUUUGAGAAUUAUUAAUUUUCUUGAUUUUAUAUUAAAAAAUAUGUCAGGUCAAGGUGCAGUUUAUAAUUAAGGUAGAGAUGGAUUACAAUAAUUUUAUUAUUAUUAUGGAUAAUUUUAUUUAAUUUUGAUUUGAAGGUGGAUUUAAUUGUAAGUUUAUUAUUAAUUUUUAUUUUGAUUUGGGCUCUAAAAUGUGUACAUAUCGCCCGUCGCUCUCACUUUAAAAUUGAG
rnacentral:rRNA from 1 species